UAGGGACCCGUAGGAACACCUGUAUCGCUUCCUCUCCUCCACUAACACACACAACCUGAGGAAAGUUUGCUUCAAAAUCUCCUCUUUUCAGCCAGCUCUCGCUCUCUGAGCUUCACAGACGAUGUCCCUGCUUGUUCUUCCUUGCUGGCUUCACUCCAAAUGUCUUUUGAAGAACAACAAGAAGAAGAAGGAUAAAGGCCACAAACAACAGACAUAAGGAAGUGACACAUGUCACAUCUGGGAUUCUGCCGGUGCAGACGAACAGGGAGCAGGUUGGUCAGUCACCUCACGGCGCCCAGAGGACACGACGCAACGCCUGCUGACUGAUAAAUCACAGGACGAAUCAAAGCGGGGCGACAGAGCUCGGCUGGUGUCACAUCAAGAUCAGAGACAGAAGCUUCGUGAAAACCAGAGGUCUGGAGUUUUGUCCAUGGAGGCCAGGUGAGCGUGGCAUCUUAUUGGUCGGAGAGCAGCAGCAGGAGCAGCCAACCGAGGCCCAGCAGCAAGGACAGGCGGACGGGCUCGGCUCCGCGGUCAGACAAGCCUGGAGAGGGAAGAGAAACAUCUUCUUGACGCAAGCAGCGGGGGAAAAAACUGAUCUUGGAGGACAAAUUCUUUGAGCAACUAAUCGAGUACAGCAUCCACAGUUGAAAAAUAAGACCAGCUAGGACGAGGACAUUGCCACUUAUCAGCCAGAUGUAAUUUCAAAGCGAGACAUGCUUUUCUUUGUGAACAUAUUCAGAAUAACCUCUUCAAUCAGUCAAGCUCCAUCUCUUGGAUUCUUCCUCUCUCUCUAGCCUUCGCACUAAAACUUCUUUAACCCAUCAGAUGUCAAUUAUACUCCUUUCCAUUUCUUUUUCUUUUCUUUGCCCGUUUCUGUCUCAUAAAUUCAUACAGACAAACAUCACCAGAAAUAUAUAUGUAAACAUGUCCUAGGGGAACAAAACACCAAUCAGACGGCGUGCUGUGAUUAUUAUGGCUGUGGCCAAUUAUAGCGUCCAUUACACUAAUUUACCUGUAAAGUCUAGAAUGACUUUUUGUGAUAUAUUUCAACAUAUACUAUGAAGUUUUUGAUGAACUUUGUGACUUUUUUAUAA